AACUCUGGUAUUGAUUGGUGCUUGCAUCAUGAUUUACAUUUGAGUGAGUGGCGAACUGGUGAGUAACACGUGGGAAACCUGCCCAGAAGCGGGGGAUAACACCUGGAAACAGAUGCUAAUACCGCAUAACAACUUGGACCGCAUGGUCCGAGUUUGAAAGAUGGCUUCGGCUAUCACUUUUGGAUGGUCCCGCGGCGUAUUAGCUAGAUGGUGAGGUAACGGCUCACCAUGGCAAUGAUACGUAGCCGACCUGAGAGGGUAAUCGGCCACAUUGGGACUGAGACACGGCCCAAACUCCUACGGGAGGCAGCAGUAGGGAAUCUUCCACAAUGGACGAAAGUCUGAUGGAGCAACGCCGCGUGAGUGAAGAAGGGUUUCGGCUCGUAAAACUCUGUUGUUAAAGAAGAACAUAUCUGAGAGUAACUGUUCAGGUAUUGACGGUAUUUAACCAGAAAGCCACGGCUAACUACGUGCCAGCAGCCGCGGUAAUACGUAGGUGGCAAGCGUUGUCCGGAUUUAUUGGGCGUAAAGCGAGCGCAGGCGGUUUUUUAAGUCUGAUGUGAAAGCCUUCGGCUCAACCGAAGAAGUGCAUCGGAAACUGGGAAACUUGAGUGCAGAAGAGGACAGUGGAACUCCAUGUGUAGCGGUGAAAUGCGUAGAUAUAUGGAAGAACACCAGUGGCGAAGGCGGCUGUCUGGUCUGUAACUGACGCUGAGGCUCGAAAGUAUGGGUAGCAAACAGGAUUAGAUACCCUGGUAGUCCAUACCGUAAACGAUGAAUGCUAAGUGUUGGAGGGUUUCCGCCCUUCAGUGCUGCAGCUAACGCAUUAAGCAUUCCGCCUGGGGAGUACGGCCGCAAGGCUGAAACUCAAAGGAAUUGACGGGGGCCCGCACAAGCGGUGGAGCAUGUGGUUUAAUUCGAAGCUACGCGAAGAACCUUACCAGGUCUUGACAUACUAUGCAAAUCUAAGAGAUUAGACGUUCCCUUAGGGGACAUGGAUACAGGUGGUGCAUGGUUGUCGUCAGCUCGUGUCGUGAGAUGUUGGGUUAAGUCCCGCAACGAGCGCAACCCUUAUUAUCAGUUGCCAGCAUUAAGUUGGGCACUCUGGUGAGACUGCCGGUGACAAACCGGAGGAAGGUGGGGAUGACGUCAAAUCAUCAUGCCCCUUAUGACCUGGGCUACACACGUGCUACAAUGGAUGGUACAACGAGUUGCGAACUCGCGAGAGUAAGCUAAUCUCUUAAAGCCAUUCUCAGUUCGGAUUGUAGGCUGCAACUCGCCUACAUGAAGUCGGAAUCGCUAGUAAUCGCGGAUCAGCAUGCCGCGGUGAAUACGUUCCCGGGCCUUGUACACACCGC
rnacentral:rRNA from 2 species